rnacentral:lncRNA from 1 species
CCCAAACACCACACUAAAUAGUAUCUCCUGCUCCACUGGCAUGGAAUGAGGCGUGGAGCCUGCCGCUGUCAGCCCGCAGGUUGGGUGAGAGAAGAAGGAACCAUUCUCUGAUAUUAGACAUGAGGAAAGGAUUUCUGCAGGCAUCCAAAGAUUCUCCUGGCAGAGAGAACCGAGAUGAAACUCUAGAUAAAUACAAGUGACUCUUGAGACCGAUACUCCGUGAGGUGGCUUAUCAGUCACUCUGGGGAGAAAAAAAAAAAUCAAGUUGAUCCUCGGCAGAAAGAGACCGUGAAGAAAGGAAGAGCAAUGUUUCCAGGAGUGGUGGUGAGCAAGUGCCAGGAAGGCUCCUCAAAGCUGCAGUUUCUCCAUCUCACCUUGAUCCUUCCCUUGACCCUCACCCCAGUACAAGAAUCAGAAGCUCAGAUAUGACCUAUCUUCCAGCUGGUGAUGCUGACAGCUUCUAAAAGGAGCAGUGACGUUCACUGUUGUCACAAGUCAAGGAGCUGAGGAGAGACAAGGACCUUGGAGAAGGACAAGGGCACAGCAGCUUCUUCCUGCAACGGCACACAGCCACAGUGCAAUGAAGCCUCUGGUUCUACAGGCCAGUGAACGUGAGAGAACGACCGUGUGGAGUUGGUAUGCUAUGUAGCAGCAGGCCUUGCCGACGGGCCCCACAAGUCAAAGCAACACAGAAAGCCACACAGGCAUGGGAGGUCUCAAUGACACUCUCCCAGGACCUCCAGCUGUCUUAUUACCUCCUGACUAGCAGCUGGCAGUCCUGAACAGACACCAGGGAUGUCACCGUACAGGUACACCUGGGAGGCCUCUGUGAGGAAGCCAGACCUCAAGGAGGUUAGGCUGAGGUGCUCCUGAGCUCACAGCACGCAAGAGCCCAGGUACCUCUGGGUCCUCUCUGUUUUCCCAGCUGUGAGAACCCAUUUGCACCCAGGAGUGCACCACAUCCAAAAGACAAAGCCGCUGGCGAAUGGGAUGGAAUGAGCAACUGGGGCCACAGCAUUAUCUCUUCUUUCUUCAAGUCAGAAGGAUUUCCAGGCUCAUGACUAGAGGAAGGAAGGUGCUACAAUCCUCUUCCCCCUCUAAGAAGUGCUGGCAUAGGCAGUGUCCCCAAAGGCCAAGAGCAGGGGCCUGGCCUGGAGGCAGGGACAAGAGGACAUCAGCUAAGAAAAUAGCUUCUGGGGUCUCAGCAAUUACUCAAGGAGGCACUUCAGUCCAGAGGGUUUGCCUACCUCACAACUACUUUGCAGGACAGACCAAUGAGUCAAGGGGCCUCCCUAGGACUGGAGAUAACACCUGUGAAUGGUACUGCACACAGCACGGUGCUCCCUCCCCACCCCCAAAGGAUGAGGCACAAGCCAGAUCCAAACACCUAUUUUCAUAUAUUUCCUUUCAUUAAUGCUAUUUCCUUUAUUAAGUGGGGAAGAAAAGUACAGUGACUGAUUUCUGACUUAAGCAGAAAACAGCAGUAAAUGACCUUAUGGGUGUGACUUUUCGAGAAGAAAAAGGGGAGGUCUGUGUCAGAAUGGGCUGGGAUGCAAUGGUAUGUUUUGAUGAGACAUUAAAGUAGCCUUUGAUUGAUGGACUUCAGGACUUUGAUACAUGGACCUUGGUGGUUAUCCUUAGGUGAAGGGUGUGUCCUAAUAAAAGGAUAGACCUUGGUGGCUAGCUUUAGGGAUGUAAUCUAUGGCUUACAAUGGAGAGAGAGAGGGUAAAGUCUGCCACUGCCAAGUUUUCCAUGCCCCAACCUGCUAGAGCCCUUCAGCUUGGAGAUGGGUUCUUCACAAAGUACCUGUAGCUGAGUCACACACAAGCUACUGGGCUAAGAUUCUUCCAGAAGCAUUUCCCCUGCCACCAGAGACACCUUUGGGCAUGCAUGUGUUAGUAGAGGAAAAAGCCAGCAAAGCUGACUGAAGCCUCCCUGAAACAGAGGAAAGAGACUGACCCCCUUCUACCAUGGAAGGUCCUGGAGCACCACAAACCCGGCCUCCGGGACUAUCCCUUGCCCAGAGGCACACAGUCCCACUGGAGAGCAAUACACACAGUCACAAAGUGCGAAUGGGCUCUGAAGCAUGACAGCACCUCCUCAGCUCCCCGCUGACUUGCAAGCAACUGAAUCCUCUUUCCCAAAACAGUCUCCUAAGAUCUGUGCAUGAAGCUGGUGGGAAAGGUUUUAAAUGAGACAUGCACUUAAAAGGGCUGUCCCAGAGCCUGCUUGAUGGAGGCACCCAAGGAACAGCAGCAGUGCAAAGAAAACAAUGGGACAGCUUAAUGGAGGAGGCAAAGUGAGAAAGGGGCUGUUAGUUGGAGGCAUGUAUAAGGCCAGCAUGAGCGAUCACACACGUGUGUCGCUCUGUGGGACAGUUUGCUGGUGAGGAAGAAGCAGGUGUGAGGAAGGUCAGGCAAGCCCAUCUAAUUCCAAGCCUAGGAGCCUGGGCCCAGCACAUCCUGCCUCCAGGGGAGAGUCAGACCAGGGGGCAGGAACCUGCAUCCACAGGAAGUCCCAUGGCCAGCAGCCCAGAGAAGACAGGCUGGGAAAGAAGGGAGCGAAAUUCACACAUAUUACACAGGGUCAGGGAGUGGAAGGACUGCCCCUGAAAGCCAAUGCUGGUGAGUAGUGCUUUCUAGAAUCCAUGGAGCUACAGCGUGACACUGGCAACAACCUGUAAGUCCUCUUUCUUCCCUGGACCUCCCAAGGGACACCUGGUCCCUUUCCAUUCUUAGCUCUACACACGCGCACACCCUCUGGCCAUGCUUUCCCGCCUGUCUAUGCCAUCCACGUCUGCACAGCACACUUCUCCAUUCCUGGGCUCUAUCCGCGUAUGCUAAUGCAGCUCCACUUGGAAUCCUUUUCUGUGCUGGCAACAACGGUGGGCACAUGGUAACUGGGAUGCCUCCCAGUUCUCACACACCUAACACGGAGGAGCUGUGAGUCACAAUUUCCAGGCAAGGAAACCUCUGCUCAGAGGCUAAGGAAAAUGCCCCACUGCUCCUGGCCAGAGGACUCCAAACACUAGCAGAUGCGGAGGCCGGAUGCCACGGCUUGCAGAUGGGCAUUUACAGCCAGGUGAUCUUGAAGGCUCCAGGCCCAGACACACCGCUGCCACUUUGUGUCUUUUACUGGAUGUUUUACUAGGAAGUUAUAAGUACUUCAGAUUUCAGGAACCAGACAGAGUAACUUUCUAAGAACCCGGAUACUGGAACCAGACGGCAUGGUUUUCUGUCUUGUGAAGAUCUGAGGUAAUGUAUGUAAAAUGCCUACAACAGUUUCUGGCACCUAGGAUGUGCACAAUAAACCCCAAACUGAGCAUGCUGUCUUCCACACAAGCUUCCCUCCCGUAGUGGUCAACAUCCUGCCCUCGUGAAUGCAGACUCCACUGUGCACUCUUCACUCUGGUAGGACCCGGGGUCACCCCACAGUCCUUCCUCUCUGAAUCACCAUUCUGAGCCCUGAAACCCAGCUGGAGCCUCCUCCUGAGUGGCACCUUGUCCUUCCCUGCUUUGGAUCCAUGCUGGUUUCUAGUCCUGCUCCAUUUGCAUUUGUUCAAUUCGAUCACACUAUCCACAUCCUUAGAAACAUCACAGAUAUUUAGAGUUGGAAAAAAUGGCGCAGGAGAUCAAGCACUGACCACAUAAGCAGAAGGGCCAAUCGGAGUUGAGAUCCCUAGGAUCCCAAUCAAAAGGGGCUGGUAGUCUAUCCCAGUGCUCAGGAGACUGAGGUCAGGAAUGCCCAAGGCAAGCUGGCUAGCUACCCUAGCUGAAUCUACAUGCUCUCAAGUCAGGAAAUAAACAUCCAGCAUCAACCUCUGGCCUCCACAAGUACAUGAGGCAUGUGCACCUGCAUCGGCACACAUGCGCACCUACAUAGAUUCAAACAUGUAUACAGAUGUGCACACACACCACACACCUAUACCCAUGGCAGGGAAAAAUAAAUGAAGAGCAUAGAUGUAUUAAAUGUACAUGUGGGGCUGUCAAGACGGCUUAUAGACAAGGGCACUUACUGCCAAGCUUGAUGACUAAGUCUCAUCCCC